CCUACGUGCGGCAGCCGUGGGGAAUAUUGGGCCAUGGGCGCAAGCCUGACCUAGCUACGCCGCGUGAAGGAAGACGGCUUUCGGGUUGUAAACUUCUUUUAAGCGGUAAGAACAGUAGACGGUCCCUCUUGCUUACGCCACGGCUAACUACGUGCCAGCCGCCGCGGUACUACGUAGGUUGCAAGCGUUGUCCGGAUUUACUGGGUGUAAAGGGGUUGUAGGCGGGCUGACAAGUCAGAUGUGAAAUUCCUGGGCUCAACCCCGGACCUGCAUAUGAAACUGUUAGUCUUGAGUAUCGGAGAGGCAGGCGGAAUUCCUAGUGUAGCAGUGAAAUGCGUAGAUAUUAGGAGGAACACCAGUGGCGAAGGCGGCCUGCUGGACGACAACUGACGGUGAGGCGCGAAAGCGUGGGGAGCAAACAGGAUUAGAUACCCUUGUAGUC
rnacentral:rRNA from 1 species